AGCGAACGCUGGCGGCAGGCCUAACACAUGCAAGUCGAACGAAGUCUUCGGACUUAGUGGCGGACGGGUGAGUAACACGUGGGAACGUACCUUUUGGUUCGGAACAACUCAGGGAAACUUGAGCUAAUACCGAAUGUGCCCUUCGGGGGAAAGAUUUAUCGCCAUUAGAGCGGCCCGCGUUCGAUUAGCUAGUUGGUGGG
rnacentral:rRNA from 1 species